ensembl:lncRNA
GGAAAACCAGAAAAAGUGUCCUUGGAAAGAUAAGCAGAACAGAAGAGCAAGUCACAGUUGAGUUGGGAUGAAAAGCUGCAGAGGGUAGCAAAGGUGUAUGUGAAUGAGGAACUGCAAACCUUUUAAAAGGGACUCAGAAUACCCCCACUGAGCCUGAAGGUGGUGAGCUGGGGGGAUCCCUGCAUGUCACCUCCCACUCCUAAUGCUGCACGGGUGUUUGCCAGCCCCUUGAGACCUCAGCAAAGGCAGUGUGUGUGGCUGCUUGGGGCUGUGCGAGCCCAGGACACGUGCUGGCUGCUCAGCUUCUGCUGCCCUCACCUGCCCUUUGGCACCAGGAGUGGGAGGGGUGGCCAUGCUGUCAUUGGGGUGUGACUGAUUCCCAUCGAAUGCUGGUGCUGGAAGGGGUUCCUGGGUCCUGCAGUUUAGGCACCACUGCUGCGGUAUCACUCCUCUCAGUCCUCAGCCCUGAAACCCUCAGCAGUGGCACUGAUGGAGAGCUGAGACCUUCUUUUUUGAUCACCAACAAUACCUUUCCUGGCUCCUUUCUCCUGUUCCCCCACCCUCUGUAUGCAUGCACUGCCUUUCUGCUCCAUCUUCUCAUCCCUUUUGUAGCAUCCCUAGUGCUGCAAAGCUGGAGAUCGGGUCUGCUCCCAGGUGGAGAUGGCUCCUGCACGCAGCUGCUGUUUGGCUGGCUGGAGGGCUUAAGAAUCAAAGAGGAGUGCAGCAGGUCCUUCACCUGGAGCUGAGCUGUGUGUACACCUGCCUCUGUGGCUGAGAACCAUCCGUGUAGGAAACCAUUCUGCGGAGGGACAGAGGGAGACGGACAUGCAAAGCAUCUGCAGUCCUGGGGACACCACUGCUGAGUCUGACCUUCAAAUCUCUCGAAGGAGGCACGUGGUGCAGAGGAGGGGAUGUGAGAGCUGCUCUGCCCCGGAUGGAUGGACUGUGUGAGGGUGCAUGAGGCAAGCCCUCUCUCCACCAGCCGUGAUGGCAGGCAGUGCAUGCAGCUGAGCCCGCAGCGACCACAGGGCUGGAGCUUGCGGCACCUCUCAGUAUGGCUGUGCCAGCCAAGUGG